rnacentral:rRNA from 1 species
GAUGAACGCUGGCGGCGUGCCUAAUACAUGCAAGUCGAGCGAACAGACGAGGAGCUUGCUCCUCUGACGUUAGCGGCGGACGGGUGAGUAACACGUGGAUAACCUACCUAUAAGACUGGGAUAACUUCGGGAAACCGGAGCUAAUACCGGAUAAUAUAUUGAACCGCAUGGUUCAAUAGUGAAAGACGGUUUUGCUGUCACUUAUAGAUGGAUCCGCGCCGCAUUAGCUAGUUGGUAAGGUAACGGCUUACCAAGGCAACGAUGCGUAGCCGACCUGAGAGGGUGAUCAGCCACACUGGAACUGAGACACGGUCCAGACUCCUACUGGAGGCAGCAGUAGGGAAUCUUCCGCAAUGGGCGAAAGCCUGACGGAGCAACGCCGCGUGAGUGAUGAAGGUCUUCGGAUCGUAAAACUCUGUUAUUAGGGAAGAACAAAUGUGUAAGUAACUAUGCACGUCUUGACGGUACCUAAUCAGAAAGCCACGGCUAACUACGUG